AAGAGCUUUGGCACGGUCGCACCACUGGGCAGGAUUAGAGCCGUCUACCUGUCCCAUCCCCCUCUCCCCUCCUCUCCCACCUCAAAGGGAAAAAAUCUAAACAGAAGAAAAAGGAAAACAGGAAAAGCUUGUAUGUAGCCAGCCCGUGGUAUGUUCCCCUUUCUGGCAGUUAGCUUAGCUUUGCUGUCACAGUGGACUGGACCACUAAGGCGGUUAAUUAUUGCCCAAACCUGUUCAGACUGGUUUGAUUUGAUGCCACGGCAGCGACGAAAAAAGGCUGCUUUUACUAACAAUAUUUUGGGUGACAAAGGAGAAGGAGACAGGCACGUAAAGCGACUCGGCAGUCCUCCCCAACAGCCACAUCAACAGUCAACAAAAGCCUUGGGUGGGGCCACAAAGGCUGAGCCCCUCCGGCAGAGCGGCACAAGCCAUUAUGAGCGCAAAACCUGAAAGCCGCGCAAAGACAAUCAUGAAGAAGAAUGAUCGCCAGAAACCGUGUUGGAAAAAAAAAGCCUCUCAGUGCCAGUUGGUUGGUGUCGCUCUUGCAGACUUGUCUUCCUCCUGGCUGCCGACUGACGACCUCUGAAGCAGCUCUGCCUACGGAGCCAUGGUUUUCAGGCGAAGGACGGCGGGAUCAGGCUUGUCGCUCGACACCGCCAUGGCCAGACAACCUCGAGCAAGCGAAGAACCGGUGUCGACAGGAAGGCUGGAGGAUGGACCAAAACCUUUGUCUUCCAAAGAGACAGAGAGAGAGAUCGAGAGCGAGUUUGUUUGCCUGGAACCUUGGAGCGAUGCUACCUGUUUAAGCUCUAAGAGACGAGAGACAGAAUUUGUAAAGGGCUUGGUUUACAUGUAUCGUUCCCCCUCCUACCCCCACAGGUGUAAUUUUCGCGUCGCAACCAAUCUCCUUAGCCUCUGGCGCUUGCAGGUGUGUCCCCUGGUCCAUGAUAGGCCAACUGGGCCGGGAGGACAGGCCCCCACCUUUCCGUCUGUUCACCUGCCCCCGCCCAAGGUCUGGAGAAGGACAUCAUUAAAAUGGGAAGUAGAUGAGAUGGGUGUGGAGCUGAACUGAUGAAUCCAUUUCCCCUCAGCUCGCGGUUACUCAUUCAGCUCUCCGGCUGAAAGGGGUCACAGACGGCCUGGCCCUUGAUUGUCCAGUCACUCAAGUGUACAACUCAGACACAACCAUGCGGAGAGCCCCAUUUCCAUCAGCUGGGAGACUGGCCUGUGUCUCCCUCCCUCUAAGAGAGAGGGACAGAGAAAGAGAGAGAGAGAGAGAGAGAGAGGAGGGAGGGAGGGGGAAAAGAAAGAGAAAGAGGGAUAGAGGCCAUGACUGUGGAUACUUUGGGCUGCUUCAGGAAGGAGGCAACUCUCUCUCUCUUUCUCUCUCUCUCUCUCUCCUUCUCUCUGUCUGAAAGGUGCACUUUGUUUAGCAUUCUCAUUUGCAUUCCAAAUGAGGUUUAGAGUGAAGCGCUGGGGCACAACCAGAGUUCAUUUGGGUAGAGAUGGGUAUCAGGCAGCCCUGUCACGCAACACUAAUGGAGGGGACUGUCAGCAGCAGGCCUCACCGGCCUCUAGCCGAAAAAAAACCCCUCUCUCUCUCUCUCUCACAUACACACACACCCACACACACACUCACACACACACACACACACACACACACACACACACACACACACACACACACACACACACACACACACACACACACACACUCACUCACUCACUCACACAGAAACUCUUGCGAUGGGGGGAGGGGACAGAAGACAAGCAUAAUGUAGCUAAGAGGCUGUAAUUGUCUACCACAUACGAGUCACAGGAUCCAGGUGAAAAGAUAAAUGUCUCUAAAUGAUUCUUACUGUAUGUAAUAACUCAGUGUGAACCAGGCAUCGUCUAUGGCAAGGCUGAGUUAAUAUUAUGACUCCUUCUUGAAUGGAUGUCCAUCUCAAAAUGCUGUAAAGUGAUCAUUUACAUGUUGCUUUGCAUCAGGGACACGCUUGCAGGGAGUGCCUAGGCUAAGGGUUGGUCACCAAUGCCAGGUUCCCCUGUUUAGACGUGUGCUUCCAACAUAAAGCCUAAGGCGGUUGCUAUAUGUUAUCCUCAGAUGCAUGUGUUGCCUGGUAAGGUUGCCACAUCUCGCCCUUUAUGUCAAAGCCUCCAAUUUCAUCUGACUACUUCACACACAGAAUGUCAAAAAUAAACAGCGACGCUAUACUCUCAAACGGACCACACCCUCUGCAGGCUGUCAUAAUGAUUUACAUCGUGCACAUACAGUAGCCUACCUUAUAAUUAUUUAUCUUCCUUGUUCGACAUACAGUAUGCCUCUGAGUUUAAACACCGCCCUGUGGACUCCAAAGGGCCUACUUAGCUGGAGAUGUUUUAUUUUUAUUUGGGGGGUGUCUGCACCCCACCCACACCUGUGGGUUUCUUGUAAUGCCUUCAGUCAACAUUUUUUUUUUUUUUUUAAAUAGGUAGCUCUAUCACAGCUACA